rnacentral:rRNA from 1 species
GAUGAACGCUGGCGGCGUGCCUAAUACAUGCAAGUCGAGCGAACAGACGAGGAGCUUGCUCCUCUUACGUUAGCGGCGGACGGGUGAGUAACACGUGGAUAACCUACCUAUAAGACUGGGAUAACUUCGGGAAACCGGAUCUAAUACCGGAUAAUAUAUUGAACCGCAUGGUUCAAUAGUGAAAGACGGUUUUGCUGUCACUUAUAGAUGGAUCCGCGCCGCAUUAGCUAGUUGGUAAGGUAACGGCUUACCAAGGCAACGAUGCGUAGCCGACCUGAGAGGGUGAUCGGCCACACUGGAACUGAGACACGGUCCAGACUCCUACGGGAGGCAGCAGUAGGGAAUCUUCCGCAAUGGGCGAAAGCCUGACGGAGCAACGCCGCGUGAGUGAUGAAGGUCUUCGGAUCGUAAAACUCUGUUAUUAGGGAAGAACAAAUGUGUAAGUAACUAUGCACGUCUUGACGGUACCUAAUCAGAAAGCCACGGCUAACUACGUG